CUGAGUUUAAUCUCGCGUACUGAUUAACGUUUCUUGAAUCUUGUAGAUAUCAGAGGUAUGUUCGUCCAUCAAUUGAAGAUAAAGGAUUAGAUGAUCUCUUUCAAAUCGAUGUAAGGACUCUUUCUUAGUUGUUUGCUUUCGAGAGAAACUUAGGACUGAUUUGAUAUACCAUUUUGUAGAUUAAAGUUUCAAGUGGGAAGCCUAUCACGGUUGUUGCGUCAAGAACAAUUUUUUACCCAGCUGGGAAACAUCAGCUUCUGUGUCAUUCUUUAGUUGAGCUAUAUAAGCAGGCCUUUUGAUGCUGCUUAUGACGCUCUUAUGAAAGCUUUCAUUGAGCAUAAUAAAUUUGGCAACCUUCCUUAUGGCUUCCGGGCAAACACUUGGGUGGUUCCUCCGGUUGUUGCAAACAAGUAAGCUCUGUUUAGGUUGUUCUGUCUAUUGAUUCUAUAAUGGAGUUAAUGUUCUGUUAUGUUU